GGGAAGUGAGGUGGGAGGGCUAUUGGUUUAUUCUUUGUCUACUGGAUUAACCCGAUUAUACACCGGGCACCAGCACAAACCGCCUCCCCCACCUCCGAGCCUUGUACGGGAGGAACGGAAUGCAGAUUCGUGUUUCACGUCCCUUCUGCUCUGGCUGGGAUUGGCUUUUGAUUGUGUGGACUUGUAGUUUGUUAGAAUUUCAUUUUUAAGAGGGAUUAUCUAUAGAUGGAGGCCUUUUGAAGACUUUUUUGGUAUUGUUUUGCUCGACGCAAAGGCUUUUUAAAUUAAUUCAGUAAUACCCACGCGAUUACUCAGGGCGACAUCAUGGACUUCCGAAAUAGGGAGAGGGGGGAGAGGCUCACCAUUCCCCUGCAGAAUUGAAUUCCUCCUUCGCGAAACCGUAAAUAAAAGGAGAGUCGCCUUUCAAAUCCCACUAUUUGUCACCCAGAACAUUCUCCUAAAAGUUCCUCUUGUUCGUGCUGGAAGUGGACUAUGGUUAACCACUUAAAAUACAGAAAAUACAUAGGCUCUGGCCGCUGCUGGACGAAGAAAGGUGCCUGCACGUGGAAGCACCCAGCGGGUAGCUGAGAUAGAUCCGCACACUGAUGUUGCAAUUGUAGCUGAGAAUGUACAGAAUGUUUUUCCUCCGCCGGAAAGUACCUGCUGUAAGGUCAAAAUUCCCGCACAGCACCUGCGACCUUGCGCCAUGCGAGGUUCCAGGCGCUGAAAGCCGGCGCUAGGGGAAAACGUGGAGUUUGAUCUCUCUCGCUCCAGCCCUCAGCUGCUCGCUGCUGAUACCCUGGCCUCUAGCAGCCUUCUGGGGACGUAUCUCUCUAGAUUGUCCCUGUCACGUCAUUUGCCUCGCUUGCGCGCUCGCCCUGCCCUCUCCGUGUUUCUCCACGGCUCUUCCCUCUCGCCUGGGGUUUGGAACUGGAGAUGGCAGGGGAAGUGGCAUGCGUUAUUUCCGGGCGCUGGGCUACGUGCCCCCACCCCACGGCCGAGGGUGGAAGAGGCUUCGGCGGCCGGCUCCUUUGCUUCCUCGAGACUUCGGGCUCAGGACAGCCGGGCCUCUCGGGCCACCGCGGCUCGCGCGGCGUCCGAGACCGGGGAGUCUCUAGCAAGGGAGCGCAGGAGUCCCUGCGCUUCCCUGUGGAGCCACCAGGGGGCGUGCGCCAGGCGCGGGGCUCGAGCUGCUUUCUUUAGGACUCACUGCGGGUUGGAGGGGUUGCCUUGCAAAGGAGUGGGUCCCGCUGGCUUCGGGCUUUUAAGAGCAGUGUGGUAUAAGCGCCACGCAAGGUGGCAUUUCUUACCAUCGCCUUAGCCACAUUCCCUUUGAGAAUGAGCUGCUUCGAUUCCGAAGAGCGUUAAGUUUUCAGCCCAGGAGCUUGGGGGUCAAAGGCAGGCUGUGCUAGGCGGCUGGUGUGUGACCAGCAAGAGAGCUGGCCAGAGAAACACCUCCCUUCACCGUCUUGCACCCGGUGGCCGCUUCUUGGGAGACAUUUGCCCCAUGCCAUUUCCUCCAGCGCUGCAGGAGCCCUGCCAAGAGGUCAUUAGGAAUCAAAGCAUAAAACAGAAUUUAAACCAGGAACUUCCGGAUGCUUGGGAAAGAAUCUAAGAAUUCGUACUUAUCUUUCAUAAAUUAGGAAGGAUUUGAGGCAAUAAUCUACUUCUCUUUUUCUUCCCAAUAACCCCCACAUUACUGCUUAGGAAAACAUUUUACCGGUAACUUAAGACCAAAAUAAAUGUAAGAAUCUGGAUUCUUUUUAAUUAUUCCUUAGUCUUUAUCUUACCUAGUGCAAUAUUGUUUUUCAGUCAGUGAGGUGUAUAAGCUACCAUAUUGUACUUCCAAAGACUAGUGUUAAAACAGAAAAGACGAAUUGUAUUUGUGCACACAUUGUAUAUGCACACUGAGGAGUUUCAUGAAACCAUUGUGCCUCAUAAUCAGUUAUGCUCACAAAUUAAAACUGGGGUUAAUUGUGGAAGAAAAUCCAGGAUAAUAGCAGAGCUCAGACAAACAUCAUGAGAAAGUUCAUUUUCAGAUGUGUUGUGGAAAGUUCUAGAAAGAGAACCCUGAAACAAGCACGGGUUUUACUACUUGUCGAACGCCGCAAAACAACAACAGCAAAAACAAACAAGUCCAUGGGUCUCCACACUGCACUGAUGCUCAACUCCGGGUUCCCAGGACUCAUCAAGGAAUAUCCCUCACCAGUGCUGGCUGUUGAUCAGAAUCUGUUACAAAAUCUCAGUGGUCCCAGGGUGGCGUGUGGCCAGAGGAUGACCUUGAACAUUUGUGCCUGUGCCCCUGGAGUACUGGGAUUGCAAGUAUCAACGGCCAGCUCCGGUUUAUAGGCUACCAACUGAGUCACAUCCUCAGCCCUGGAUUCCCCCCCCAACAGGUCUCAAAACCCUAGCUGGUUUGGAACUCACUGUGUAGAUCGGGUUGACUCUGUCUCUUGACUGCGGGAUUUCAAACCUGCUCCACCACUCCUAACUGGAUUUUUUUUUUUUUUAGGGCAGAAUUUAAGUCAUUUGCUACUGUGAGAAUUUUAUUACUAUGUCUUGCAUGAAGUGACUGAAACAAGUUUGAUUAAAGCCAUAAUUUUCUUUCCUUCCCUUUCCUCUUCUGCACCCUCCUCUCCCUCCUCCUCUGCAACCCCCCCCCCUUCCUAAGAUGGUCUUCUUAUGAAAUACAGAAUGUUCUCAAACUUCCUUUGCUGAAUUUUUUUUAUCCUAAUUAAAAGAAAAACUUUAUGGAAAAUUUAUGCUCCAGGUUAUAGGGAAUAAAGAAAUUAGCACAAACCUGAUGAUAGGUGGAUAUAUGGAAAUAAAAUUGAAUUCAUGAAGUU